rnacentral:rRNA from 1 species
AUGCAGGUCACGCCGCUGUUGGCCGUGGAGAACGUGCCCCGCGCGGAAGUCAUGCUGGGCUCGCCGGAGACGCGCUGGCGGUGGCGCUACUGCACCUCAAGCGCGUACCGGUGCCCUCUAAGGCGUCGAGACCCGAACACGGCCGAGGUCUUCGCAGAUGGUGCCGAGCUUAUCAAGGUCGCCGUCGACAGCACCAGGCCGCAGGUAGUGGCCCUGCUCGCGGAGCUUCGCUCCUACGACCUACUGUUCGAAUUCGCCACGCCCUAG